rnacentral:lncRNA from 1 species
GGAAGCAGGGGACCACAGGGUGGCUCCCUCAGCCCCCACCCCGCCACCUGCCUCGGGGCAAGAACGGGCGCCGGAGGGUACCAGCCCAGAAGGCUGGUGUUGGGACCCCGAGGCUCCCUGCCCUUGAGCCCCCAAAUCCGUCUUCUCCCUGCAUCAGCCUGGGCUGUGUGACCUUGGGCAGGGGCUUUGCCUCUCUGGGCCUUAGAGCCCCCAUGAAAGGUGCUGAGCUCAGUGUGGGUGGAUGCGCCGAGGGCAUGCAGAGUCCUUCUGCCGCCUCUGUGGAUGAGAAAUAGGGCCUGUGGUCCACGGCUGCUGUGACAAUGAAGAGAGAACUGUGGAAACUGUGAAGUGCGAUGGACAAAGGGUUGUGUGUCUUAAAUGGUCAUUCGCAGAACUUAAGGCUUUUGAGGCGAGUCCCCAGGAAGACACAGCCACAGCCGCGUGGACCCCACACGUGGGGAAGGGCUGUUCCGGGGCGGCAGGUCCCACUGGGACCAGGCUGAAGCCUAGGGAGUCCUGGAAAGGCUUGGGCAUCCACGGGGCCCCGCUGCAGGUUAACUCCAGGAACCCCCAAGCCCCAGGUCCCUUCGCGGCCCCCCCCCCACCCAUCCUGUGGUCCAGGAGGAACCUGCCCAGAGCAGCGGGAGACGGGGCCCGGGAAGGAGGCCGGGGUCGGUGUUCCAACCGGGGGAAUCGGUUCCCUUCGCUGCAGGCAGCGGGGAGGGUGCGGGGAGCGGAGAGCGGGGGAGGCGGAGAGGGGGGCCGGGAAGAGGGCGAGGGGAGCGGGCGGCCGGGAAGGAGAGGCACACGCGGAGAGGGAUUGAACCUUGAGAGAAGCCGCCCAAGGAAAGGACUGAGGCUCUGACCCGCGGGAGAGGGGAGCGCGCUCCAAACUUAAGAGGGAGAAAAGUCUGCCAGCUGCCCUUGGGGCUGUCACAACAGAUAAAACCUCAUCCAGGCUUCACCGGGAGCGGCCCUGCGCGCUAAUGCACAGCNAAUAUGGGGUGGGGGGGGGGGGGGGGGGGGCGAGGGGGAG